UACGUAGGGGGCUAGCGUUGUCCGGAAUCAUUGGGCGUAAAGCGCGCGUAGGCGGCCAGAUAAGUCCGGUGUGAAAGUCACAGGCUCAACCUGUGAAUGCCGCUGGAAACUGUCUGGCUAGAGUCCGGAAGGGCGAGUGGAAUUCCUGGUGUAGCGGUGAAAUGCGCAGAUAUCAGGAGGAACACCAAUGGCGAAGGCAGCUCGCUGGAACGGUACUGACGCUGAGGCGCGAAAGCGUGGGGAGCGAACAGG
rnacentral:rRNA from 1 species